UUUUACAUCAUUAAACUUUUAUAUAUACAUAUUUCAUCAUAGCUGACUUUUCUUUUGGUUUAUAUGCAGAUGUCCUAUUAUAACGAUUUCACCACGAUGCAUGUUAAUUUUUUUAUCUCUCUAUAUGAUUUGAUUAAUCGUAGAUUUAUUUGAAGCAAGAUCAUGACCGUAAUGAAGACAUGAUCAGAAGUGCUCUUCAUGCUAUCUCAUCGUUGGAUCGAAUCAGUAGAGAAGAUUACAGCCACAAGUUCAAGAGCUUAAUGGCUGAGAUGAAGAGGUCUGAAUCAUUGUAGGGGAAGUAUCAGACAAUCCGCAAUGAGUAAAAAGAGUGUAUGUUCUGUUAUUUACAUGAUGAACCAUAAAAGCUAUCGAUAAUGUUAUAGCCUUGUUUUUUUUCAAUUUUAAAAUCAGCAACAAGUCUGUUCUUUUUUCUUUUUGCCUUUUAAAUUUUCUUUUUGUGGCGAGGGAUUUUAUAGCCUUGUUUUAUUUGGCUUUUCAAUGGUU